CGGACGGGUGAGUAACGCGUGAGCAAUUUGCCCUUUGGAGGGGAAUAACAGCCGGAAACGGUUGCUAAUACCGCAUAAGACACAACGGAGGCAUCUCUGAUGUGUGAAAGGAGAAAUCCGCCAAAGGAUGAGCUCGCGUCCCAUUAGGUAGUUGGUGAGGUAACGGCUCACCAAGCCGACGAUGGGUAGCCGGACUGAGAGGUUGGCCGGCCACACUGGAACUGAGACACGGUCCAG
rnacentral:rRNA from 1 species